CAGCCAUGAUCUGAAUAGUAGGGAGUGGCCUGGCCAAAGUACAAACCCCCUUUGAGUUACUCAGGCCUCAUAGAUUUUCCAAAAGUCUAAGAUGGAGCACACAUAGCGCCUCUCUGUGGGGAGCUCCCAGCCCAAAGGGGAAGGCUGGUCCUGUGGAGAAUCCCACAUGAGGCAAGAACUGGAGAGACAAGGCAGGUACAGUGCCCAGGAGCCACGCACUCAGACCCCUGGGUAGGAACCGGCGACCCAGGGAAGAAAGAGUGGGUGCCGUCGUAUUCCAGAGGGAAGGAAAAGCACGGAUGAAAGAGGCGGAGCUGAAAGGAUGCGAUGUCUUCAGGAAACAAUGCACAGCAAUGCCCAGGAUCCUCUCUUGGAUACAUGGCUGCUGACUGCUGUAGAAUGUUACCUCACCCUUUGGACUGGAAGAAAGAAUAUCAAAGUAGGAGGACUUUCUACCAGGAAGACAUUGAAACAUAAAGUUCCGGGGUAACACUUAGAACCACCAGAACUGCCUGUCAGAGAGGAGGAGUUGGAGAGAUGGGGCAUCAGAAGGCUUACUGAGCCUGCCUUAGGAAGGUGGCCAGAACCCCACACUAUCACUUCUCACUGUCCUUCAAGUCACCUUCCAAAUCUAGGCCAUUUCCUGACGACUUUCUUCCCACCCCGAGGGAGAUGUUAGACAUUCCCCACUCCUACGACACCGGAUGCAUCUCUUUAUUAUGAUAAGGAUAUCCCUUGCCUCUGAAUUCAUUAUUGACCUAUGUUUACCACUGGACACUGAAUUGGCUUACUGACUUAUGUUCCCCACCGGACUGUGGAUGCUCUGACCAUUGGGAUUGUGUCAUCCUUCUCAGGAGCUCAUUUAAGACUUAAAUGUUUAUCGACUGCCAGAAUAACUGAUUGGAUAAAUGAAAGUGUUUAAUGAGUAUUAAAAUAUGUGCUGGCAGGAAAGGAGAUCAAAAUUGAUACUGUGUGUAGACAUUGAGAACUGGGGGUGAAUGCUUGUUUGACAAAGAUGCAUUCUGCUCUUUGCUCUACAUUAGCCAGGUAAUAAUCUUGGUUAAAUUACUCAAUCAUUCUGAGCUUCCCUCUCGUUAGUAAAAUAAAGACAACAGUCCUUGUUGGAUAUAUGAGGAUUAAAUGAAAUGGUAAGUAUAAAAUGGUGCUUGGUACAUAGAAAAUAUUAAACACUGUUGAGUUUUUGAUAAAAUAAAAUUAUUUAUUCAUUUUUGCAUUGCUAGGGAUUGAGCUCAGGACCUUCCAUAUGCAAGGCAAGCAUUCUGUCACUGAGCUACAUCCCCAUUCUAAAAAGUGGAAAUGGACCGGGCUUGGUAAAAGUAAUACUGUCAGUGAAAGCUAUUUAUAAUGCUUGCUUAACAUUUACAUCCCAUGACUAAGCAGCAAAAUACUAUUUUGCAGCUCUCUUAAUACAUGCUGAAUUAACUUCAGUCAUUAUUUUCCCAAGGCUAACUUCUGUGUUGCUCUGAAGCCAUUUGAACUGGUGUUUGGGAUGUCACUUAACUUUUAAAAACUCUCAUUCCAGGAAAUGGGUAGGAUUUCAGAAUGAGUGAUUUCAGAAUGAGUAACACCAGGCCACAGACACAGAUACUUUCUAUGAGAAGUGUGCCCAAAAGACAAUAUGUAAGAGAAAAACAUAAUAGCAACUCUCUGUUGAAUAUCUAAAUGUGGAUGGGCGUGCUGGCACAUGCCUGUAACCCCAGACACUUAGGGAGCUGAGACAGGUUCAAGGCUUGCCUGGUCAACUUACUGAGAUACUGUCUCCAAGUAAAAACAGUGAGAGCUCAUUGCUCCCUGGGCUGAAUCCAGGUACUGCAAUACAUAGUAUUUCCACCCACUGCUUAGUGACAAUAAUUAGAUUUGAAAUGAUUUUAAUGCAAAGUAUUAGGAAUUCUUAAAUCUGGAGCCUUACUUUUUUUCCCUCUAUAUUUUAUGAAGGAAAUAUUCAAAUACACUUCUAGUUCAUUUUAAUGUUUCAUUCCAUGGGUAAUUCUUGUACCAAUAGAUUCCCAAGUGUAUUCUUGUAAAGAGUACUUAAAAUAUCUCAUCUUAAAACUGAAACUGUUUUAAAGAAUGGAUUUUUUUUUUAAUGGGCCACCAUCUUGUGAGAGAAAGAACACUGUUAAUAAGUCAAGUUCUAAUGACCCGGGCAGGACAGAGCAGGCAGGACUUGGUCAUUGCCAAAUCGAUCUCAAAAAACAGGAGUGCACAGGAAAUGGAAUGACAGCAAAUUUCAAAGCACAGCAAAAUUCUCAUCAAUGCCAAACACAGAAGUCACACUUCUUCUUCAAAUUUGCUGAACCAGAAAGAAAAAACAAACAUGAGGACUUUGGGAUCUUCAUCUGCACAAAGCAAUCUAAGUGACAUGUUGUUCUGUGGGGGUUCUACGAUAAGCAAGUUUGACUGCUUGUAUUCAAAGGGCUUUUAUCUUCGGAUUUGUUCUCAAGAUGAGCCUAUCCCAUGCACUCUGCCCAAUGAGUGUGCUCAAGCGUGCACCGAGGACCAUCUUGCAAACAAGACUUGGAGACAGACAUUUUUCAGGGGGAAAAGACAAAAAAAAAAAAAAAGUUCCAAUAGCAUUUACUGCUUGCUUUGUACAGGAUAACUAUAAGCCUGAAGCACGGCUACUCUAAUCAAGAAAAAAAUUAAAAUGUUAAAGGUGGUUUGUGGGAAUUGUUUUUGUUUUUCUAUCCUCCAGGUUCUUGUUUUUGUUUUAGAGGGAAUGCAUUCUUGCAGCUUAUCCAAUCUGAUAGACCUUUCCCUUGCUUGUGGAAAAGUCAAUGUAGUACCUAAUAUUUUAGAGCUGGAUCCUAUUUUCUAAUCUUGAUUUAAUCCAUAACUUUUAAAUGUAAUGAAUUGGAACCAAACAUUCAUAAAGUGGUCUUCUGGAAAUUUGAAAACACUUUCUAAUGGGAAAAGUUAUUUGCAAUGACACAUUUUCACAUUGACAUAAAUCUAAUUAACCCAUGGUGUAGGUGAAAUGACAGGAGGAAUAAAAAGCAGUGUAGUCUUUGUACCUAUCAAUAAAAUGUAUUAUUAGGUAGUACUCUCAAAGAUGGGAAAAAAUAAAACACUAGACCUCCAAACACCUAAAACCUGAGUUGAAUCCUGCCUCAGCUUUGUGAUGUUAGACAAAUAACUUCCUUGAGCUUCAGUGACCUCAUCCAUAACAUGGGUAUGAUGCUUGCAGUCCAGGGACGAUGCUUCAAGGACAACAACUGGAUUAACAAGUUCACCAUGGGGCCGUGCAUGCAUGACCAUCCCACUGGGUGACUUGUACAACCCGAUGGAACUGUCCCAUGCCCCCUGAUGGGGUGAUCAUGUAUGUGCCACUGGUGGUUUAAGAGGUGGGAACAUGUUAAAAGCCAAUUUAGGCUGGAUUUUGGCUCUGCCAUUUAUUUGCAGAGACUUGGGGAAGUCAUUUACUUUCUCCAUGCAUCGA